GUGUCAGCAGCCGCGGUAAGACGAGCUCUCCGAACGUUAUUCGGUAUCACUGGGCUUAAAGAGUUCGUAGGCGGUUCCGUAGGUGAGGUGUGAAAUCCCUCGGCUCAACCGAGGAAUUGCGCUUCAAACCGUGGGACUUGAGGGAGACAGAGGUAGGCGGAACAGAUGGUGGAGCGGUGAAAUGCGUUGAUAUCAUCUGGAACACCGGUGGCGAAAGCGGCCUACUGGGUCUCAUCUGACGCUGAGGAACGAAAGCUAGGGUAGCGAACGGGAUUAGAUACCCCGGUAGUCCUAGCCGUAAACGAUGAGCACUAGCCCGUGGGGACCCUCACAUCCUCUCGGGCGUAGCGAAAGUAUUAAGUGCUCCGCCUGGGGAGUAUGGUCGCAAGGCUGAA
rnacentral:rRNA from 1 species